rnacentral:rRNA from 1 species
GAUGAACGCUGGCGGCGUGCCUAAUACAUGCAAGUCGAGCGAACAGACGAGGAGCUUGCUCCUCUGACGUUAGCGGCGGACGGGUGAGUAACACGUGGAUAACCUACCUAUAAGACUGGGAUAACUUCGGGAAACCGGAGCUAAUACCGGAUAAUAUAUUGGACCGCAUGGUUCAAUAGUGAAAGACGGUUUUGCUGUCACUUAUAGCUGGAUCCGCGCUGCAUUAGCUAGUUGGUAAGUUAACGGCUUACCAAGGCAACGAUGCGUAGCCGACCUGAGAGGGUGAUCGGCCACACGGGAGCGGAGACACGGACCAGACUCCUACGGGAGGCAGCAGUAGGGAAUCUGCCGCAAUGGGCGAAAGCAUGACGGAGCAACGCCGCGUGAGUGAUGAAAGUCUUCGGAGCGGAAAACUCUGUUAUGAGGGAAGAACAAAUGUGUAAGUAACUAUGCACGUCUUGACGGUACCUAAUCAGAAAGCCACGGCUAACUACGUG